CUUUUUCAUGUGCACACAGAAGUUCUGAUGUCAAGUCUAUAGUAAGCCUGAAAAUGAAUGGCUCUGAAAUACACCUAUGGAUAAAUUAUAUUUUAACAGGUACAGGCAGUGUUUUUCAGGUGGUGGAAAUGUCCCCCUGGGGGAAGCAUGUGGCAGUGUAGAACUGCUUCACACCACAAAAGGCUCAUCAGCAGGCUGUGCUCCCUCCCUUAGGAGGCACUGUGGCUGUGCCAGGCACAGGGCAGUCCUUGUGCACAGGAAUCCCUGCUCAGAAACAGCUGGAGCUGGGGAGAGCACAUGGAGCAGGGAGCCCUCCAGUCAACCAGCAAUUCAUGUAACUCACAAAAAAACAAGCAAGAAAGAAUCUGAAGAAAAGUUUAUAAGAAGAUCAAGGUUCCAGUACUAUUGAAAGGCACAUUUCACCCAUGCUGAACAACAGUUGAGUUCAUGGACACGUACAAUGCUCAGAAUUCAUGGCAAAAAGACCACAUAAUGAUGAUAUAUUGUGAAACAUACAUUCCAGACUUUAGUAAAAUACUAAAGUGAUUAUUUUAAGUGUUUCAUGUACAUAAUAAGAGCGGAACAGGCAGAUGCAUCCAAUUACUGUAAUUUACAAGGCAAUAAUUCGAACCUCAAACACAUUUCUCCUUAUUGGAAGAAGGGGCUAUGGAUUAGCAGUGAAACGAGGGGCAGUGAAUGAUCAGGGAGCCAGGAAGCUGCUGCCAUUUGGAAAAUAACAGCCAGCACCUGCUGCAAGUCAGGGGAAUUUAACUUCACUUAUUCAUUUCACUGUGCUGUGGCAGCACAAGGCUGGGCUGGAUGGAUGGGAUGGAUGGAUGGAUGGAUGGAUGAUGGAUGGAUGGGAUGGAUGGAUGGAUGAUGGAUGGAUGGAUGGAUGGAUGAUGGAUGAUGGAUGGAUGGAUGGAUGGAUGGAUGGAUGGAUGGAUGGAUGAUGGAUGAUGGAUGGAUGGAUGGAUGGAUGGAUGGAUGGAUGGAUGAUGGAUGGAUGGAUGGAUGGAUGGAUGGAUGAUGGAUGGGAUGGAUGGAUGGAUGGAUGGAUGGAUGGAUGGAUGGAUGAUGGAUGGAUGGAUGGAUGGAUGUGGAUGGAUGGAUGGAUGUGGAUGGAUGGAUGGAUGGAUGGAUGGAUGGAUGGGAUGGAUAGAUGGAUGGGAUGGAUGGAUGGAUGGAUGGAUGGAUCCGAUGUACACAGAUGUUUCCUUGGCAGUGGGAAGAAUGAAGUCUCCUUGAUGCCUCCCCUCUCCCUGUUCAGUGCUGUGCCUUGUGCAAAUUACCUCCUUUCAUCUAGCUCGGGGUUAAGUUUCACGUUUAGAUGA
rnacentral:lncRNA from 1 species